rnacentral:rRNA from 1 species
ACACAUGCAAGUCGAGCGAUGAGAUCCCUUCGGGGAAGGAUUAGCGGCGAACGGGUGAGGAACACGUGAGGAAUCUGCCUUCAACACUGGGAUAACUCCGGGAAACCGGGGCUAAUACCGGAUACGAGACCUGCAGGCAUCUGCGGGUCUGGUAAAGUUUUUCGGUUGAAGAUGACCUCGCGGCCUAUCAGCUUGUUGGUGAGGUAAUGGCUCACCAAGGCGACGACGGGUAGCCGGCCUGAGAGGGCGACCGGCCACACUGGGACUGAGACACGGCCCAGACUCCUACGGGGAGGCAGCAGGUGGGGAAUAUUGGGCAAUGGGAGGGAACUCUGACCCAGCGACGCCGCGUGCGGGAUGAAGGCCUUCGGGUUGUAAACCGCUUUCAGCAAGGAAGAAGCGAAAGUGACGGUACUUGCAGAAGAAGCACCGGCUAACUAUGUG